rnacentral:rRNA from 1 species
UACGUAGGGUGCGAGCGUUAAUCGGAAUUACUGGGCGUAAAGCGUGCGCAGGCGGUGAGCUGUGUCCGAUGUGAAAGCCCCGGGCUUAACCUGGGAAUGGCAUUGGAAACUGGCUCGCUGGAGUGUGGCAGAGGGGGGUGGAAUUCCGCGUGUAGCAGUGAAAUGCGCAGAUAUCAGGAAGAACACCCGUGGCGAAGGCGGCUCUCUGGGACGGUACUGACGCUGAGACGCGAAAGCGUGGGGAGCAAACAGG